GGCAUCGUUUGAACUAUAGUCAAUAGAAUAAGAAGGUUAGAGAACUCGAUGCCGAGGCAUAAUAAACCUCGUUACCUAUGUUUUUGUCUUGGUUUAUGCAAGAAAUACCCAGUUCAUCGUAUCACGACUAGGUAAAUAAACGAAAACACUGCUAUUGGUUGGUUGGGCGAAAAAACAAUACACACGUGACGAUGAACCGACCAUUUUUUGCAUAAACCAAGACAAAAACAUAGACAAUGAGAUCUAUUGUGUCAGCAUCGAGUUCCCUGACCUUCUUAGUCUAUUGACUAUAGUUCAAGUGAUACC